rnacentral:rRNA from 1 species
AUACGUAGGGAGCGAGCGUUAUCCGGAUUCAUUGGGCGUAAAGCGCGCGUAGGCGGAUCGCUAAGCGGAACCUCUAAUCCGAGGGCUCAACCCCCGGCCGGGUUCCGAACUGGCGGUCUCGAGUGCGGUAGGGGCAAGUGGAAUUCCAUGUGUAGCGGUGGAAUGCGCAGAUAUAUGGAAGAACACCGAUGGCGAAGGCAGCUUGCUGGGCCGUCACUGACGCUGAGGUGCGAAAGCGUGGGGAGC